AUUGAACGCUGGCGGCAUGCCUAACACAUGCAAGUCGAGCGGGGUGAUGGUGCUUGCACUAUCACUUAGCGGCGGACGGGUGAGUAAUGCUUAGGAAUCUGCCUAUUAGUGGGGGACAACAUCUCGAAAGGGAUGCUAAUACCGCAUACGUCCUACGGGAGAAAGCAGGGGAUCACUUGUGACCUUGCGCUAAUAGAUGAGCCUAAGUCGGAUUGUCUAGUUGGUGGGGUAAAGGCCUACCAAGGCGACGAUCUGUAGCGGGUCUGAGAGGAUGAUCCGCCACACGGAGACAGAGAGACGCCCCAGACUCCUACGUGAGGCAGCAGUGGGGAAUAGUGGUCAAUGGGGGGAACCCUGAUCCAGCCAUGCCGUGUGUGUGAAGAAGGCCGUAUUGGUGUACAGCACGUGAAGCGAGGAGGAGGGUCUUUUGGUUAAUACCCAGAAUGAGUGGACGUUACUCGCAGAAUAAGCACCGGCUAGCUCUGUGCCAGCAGCCGCAGUAA
rnacentral:rRNA from 1 species